UACGUAGGGUGCAAGCGUUAAUCGGAAUUACUGGGCGUAAAGCGUGCGCAGGCGGUUCUGUAAGUCUGUCGUGAAAUCCCCGGGCUUAACCUGGGAAUUGCGAUGGAGACUGCAAGGCUAGAAUCUGGCAGAGGGGGGUAGAAUUCCACGUGUAGCAGUGAAAUGCGUAGAGAUGUGGAGGAACACCGAUGGCGAAGGCAGCCCCCUGGGUCAAGAUUGACGCUCAUGCACGAAAGCGUGGGGA
rnacentral:rRNA from 1 species